rnacentral:rRNA from 1 species
AACGAACGCUGGCGGCAUGCCUAACACAUGCAAGUCGAACGAGAGGUUCGGGUCUAGUGGCGCAUGGGUGUGUAACGGGAGGGAACCUUCCCUUAGGUUCGGAAUAACUCUCCGAAAGGGGUGCUAAUACGGGAUAAUGUCUUCGGACCAAAGAUUUAUCGACCUUGGAUGGACCCGCGUUGGAUUAGCUAGUUGGUAGGGUAAAAGCCUACCAAGGCGACCAUCCAUAGCUUGUUUGAGAGAAUGAUUAGCCACACUGAGACUGAGACACGGCCUAGACUCCUACGGGAGGUAGCAGAGGGGAAUAUUGGACAAUGGGCGAAGGCAUGAUCCAGCAAUGCCGCGUGAGUGAUGAAGGCAUUAAGGUUGUAAAGCUCUUUUAACCGGGAUGAUAAUGACAGUACCGAGAGAAUAAGCUCCGGCUAACUCCGUG